ensembl:antisense Gm28564 predicted gene 28564
GGAGAAAGAAGGAUUGCCAGAUGGAUGGACACAGGAGCUGCAGGAGAUAAAGCCAACCAGCCAUGUGAGAUCUUGGCACCUGCAUUGCUGAGGCCUCGAAUCACCAAGAUCAACUUUGAUGCUGCUUGUUUGUUUUGACUUGGGACAACUUUGUACCUCGUAAUCCUGGAUGGCCUGGAACUUGUUAUGGAGGUUAGCCUUGCUGUAAGUUCGAAGAGAUUUGUCUGUCUCUGUCUCCCA